GGGUCAAGUUCAAAGCGGUAGGCCCCUUCGGGGGUCACGAGCGGCGAACGGGUGAGUAAAUGAGAAAAAUCUGCCCUUCACACGGGGAUAACCACCGGAAACGGUGGCUAAUACCCGAUACGACCACUUCAGGCAUCUGAUGGUGGUGGAAAGUUCCGGCGGUGGAGGAUGAGCUCGCGGCCUAUCAGCUUGUUGGUGGGGUAAUGGCCUACCAAGGCAACGACGGGUAGCCGGCCUGAGAGGGUGACCGGCCACACUGGGACUGAGACACGGCCCAGACUCCUACGGGAGGCAGCAGUGGGGAAUAUUGGACAAUGGGCGAAAGCCUGAUCCAGCAACGCCGCGUGAGGGAUGACGGCCUUCGGGUUGUAAACCUCUUUCAGCAGGGACGAAGCGCAAGUGACGGUACCUGCAGAAGAAGCACCGGCCAACUACGUGCCAUCAGCCGCG
rnacentral:rRNA from 1 species